rnacentral:lncRNA from 1 species
UUUUGACAGAAAAGGUCAUUCGGAAAACACAGGUGGAAGAGAAUAUGCAGAACAUAUGCUGGUGGAGGAAGUGAAGAAAAAUAAAAAGUCUAAUAAGCAAACAGGCAAAUCAAAAGGGAAGAGUGUUCAAAUUCAUGAAGGCAUUGAGACCCUGAAUACCAGUGUUCCUGAUGAUCCCACUCCUACUUCAAAGAAAGUGAGUUACAUACUAGUCCAUAUGCUCAUGUUGAUUUUAUAUGCCUUAUAUUUGUUAUAACAUUCUCUCAAUCUGCAGAAGAAAAAGAAAACAGGAAAACAGAAAAAAGAAGAGACUAAAGAAGAAAAGGAAGAGCCCAUAAAAGCCCAGAAUGUGACAGUUAAAGUUAAAAAGAAAAAGGGUCAACCAGCAUUUGUUGUAGGAAAACCACAGCCACAUGAUGUUGAAUGGAUGGCAAAUUCAGUGGAUGAGCCUGAGAGACUGAUGAGCCAUGAGAGAGAGGAGACGACUCACGACACAGAGGAUGAACUAGAAAACACUGAGAACACACCAGAACACACCUACACUGACUCUGAAGAUGACAUGGAUGCUGAUACAGACCGAGAGAGUACAGACACACAUGAAGCACACGAAGUCUCUCCCAGAUCAGUUUACAGCACUCACAGAUCACAGCACUCACUCAUUACAGCUUGUUCAGAUGCCAGCUUUCACAGACUCUCACAGAGCUCCAUCAGAACCCCCUCAAUGGGGAUGGCGUCCCACUGCGGCCCGUGCAGCCCAGCACCCCUGUCUCUCAUCUACCUGCCUCCUCAGUCAGCACUACCUCCUGCCUCAGACCCUACUAAAUCUGAUCCAGGCAAUGAUGUUAAAAGCAACGAGGUUCCAACUAACCAAACAGACAAAAAAGCUGCAGCGCUGGCUGAAAAGGCAGAGCGCCGUCGUCUGGAGGUGGAGAAGAAACGGAAGGAGAGAGAGGAGGAAAAGAAGAGACAGCAAGAAAAGGAGGCGACAGAAGAGAGGAUGAGGCUGGAACUGGAAGAAGAACAAAGGAAAAGAGCAGAGGAAGCAAGGUACAACAUGUAA